GAUGAACGCUGGCGGCGUGCCUAAUACAUGCAAGUCGAGCGAACAGACGAGGAGCUUGCUCCUCUGACGUUAGCGGCGGACGGGUGAGUAACACGUGGAUAACCUACCUAUAAGAAUGGGAUAACUACGGGAAACCGGAGUUAAUACCAGAUAAUAUAUUGAACCGGAUGGUUCAGUAGUGAAAGGCGGUUUUGCUGUCACUUAUAGAUGGUGCGGCUCGGCAUUAGUUAGUUGGUAAGGUAACGGCUUACAAAGGCAACGAUGCGUAGCCGAGCUGAGAGGGUGAUCGGCCGCACUGGAACUGAGACGCGGUCCAGACUCCUACGGGAGGCAGCGGUCGGGAAUCUUCCGCAAUGGGCGGAAGCCUGACGGAGCAAAGCCGCGUGAGUGAUGCAGGUCUUCGGAUCGUAAAACUCUGUUAUUAGGGAAGAACAAAUGUGUAAUUAACUAUGCGCGUCUUGACGGUACCUAAUCAGAAAGCCACGGCUAACUACGUG
rnacentral:rRNA from 1 species